rnacentral:rRNA from 1 species
ACCGAAGCUGUGGAUUGUCCUUUGGACAAUGGUAGGAGAGCGUUCUAAGGGCGUUGAAGCAUGAUCGUAAGGACAUGUGGAGCGCUUAGAAGUGAGAAUGCCGGUGUGAGUAGCGAAAGACGGGUGAGAAUCCCGUCCACCGAUUGACUAAGGUUUCCAGAGGAAGGCUCGUCCGCUCUGGGUUAGUCGGGUCCUAAGCUGAGGCCGACAGGCGUAGGCGAUGGAUAACAGGUUGAUAUUCCUGUACCACCUAUAAUCGUUUUAAUCGAUGGGGGGACGCAGUAGGAUAGGCGAAGCGUGCGAUUGGAUUGCACGUCUAAGCAGUAAGGCUGAGUAUUAGGCAAAUCCGGUACUCGUUAAGGCUGAGCUGUGAUGGGGAGAAGACAUUGUGUCUUCGAGUCGUUGAUUUCACACUGCCGAGAAAAGCCUCUAGAUAGAAAAUAGGUGCCCGUACCGCAAACCGACACAGGUAGUCAAGAUGAGAAUUCUAAGGUGAGCGAGCGAACUCUCGUUAAGGAACUCGGCAAAAUGACCCCGUAACUUCGGGAGAAGGGGUGCUCUUUAGGGUUAACGCCCAGAAGAGCCGCAGUGAAUAGGCCCAAGCGACUGUUUAUCAAAAACACAGGUCUCUGCUAAACCGUAAGGUGAUGUAUAGGGGCUGACGCCUGCCCGGUGCUGGAAGGUUAAGAGGAGUGGUUAGCUUCUGCGAAGCUACGAAUCGAAGCCCCAGUAAACGGCGGCCGUAACUAUAACGGUCCUAAGGUAGCGAAAUUCCUUGUCGGGUAAGUUCCGACCCGCACGAAAGGCGUAACGAUUUGGGCACUGUCUCAACGAGAGACUCGGUGAAAUCAUAGUACCUGUGAAGAUGCAGGUUACCCGCGACAGGACGGAAAGACCCCGUGGAGCUUUACUGUAGCCUGAUAUUGAAAUUCGGCACAGCUUGUACAGGAUAGGUAGGAGCCUUUGAAACGUGAGCGCUAGCUUACGUGGAGGCGCUGGUGGGAUACUACCCUAGCUGUGUUGGCUUUCUAACCCGCACCACUUAUCGUGGUGGGAGACAGUGUCAGGCGGGCAGUUUGACUGGGGCGGUCGCCUCCUAAAAGGUAACGGAGGCGCUCAAAGGUUCCCUCAGAAUGGUUGGAAAUCAUUCAUAGAGUGUAAAGGCAUAAGGGAGCUUGACUGCGAGACCUACAAGUCGAGCAGGGUCGAAAGACGGACUUAGUGAUCCGGUGGUUCCGCAUGGAAGGGCCAUCGCUCAACGGAUAAAAGCUACCCCGGGGAUAACAGGCUUAUCUCCCCCAAGAGUUCACAUCGACGGGGAGGUUUGGCACCUCGAUGUCGGCUCAUCGCAUCCUGGGGCUGUAGUCGGUCCCAAGGGUUGGGCUGUUCGCCCAUUAAAGCGGUACGCGAGCUGGGUUCAGAACGUCGUGAGACAGUUCGGUCCCUAUCCGUCGUGGGCGUAGGAAAUUUGAGAGGAGCUGUCCUUAGUACGAGAGGACCGGGAUGGACAUACCUCUGGUGUACCAGUUGUCGUGCCAACGGCAUAGCUGGGUAGCUAUGUGUGGACGGGAUAAGUGCUGAAAGCAUCUAAGCAUGAAGCCCCCCUCAAGAUGAGAUUUCCCAACUUCGGUUAUAAGAUCCCUCAAAGAUGAU